GUGAUAAAUUAGAUUCAAGAGCAAAGAAAACCAAACCAAGCCCUUCCGCCCCUCCCUUACGAAACUUCCAGUUUUCAGAUCUAGUAGCUAAAAUUAAAGCUAAAAUUUAUGAAGACUCUUGCCAGUAGGGAUAAGCACAGUCUUUGGUCUGUGCAGGUGAGAUGCCUCUAAUGAAGAGGUGAAAAGUUGUGUGAGUUGUAACUACAUCUAUGUAUAUUUUUUUCUUUUUCUUUUCUUUCCCCUUUUUCUUUUUUUCUUCUGUUUUCCAUUUUCCCUCUUCUCUCAUUU
rnacentral:lncRNA from 1 species